rnacentral:lncRNA from 1 species
AACGACUAUGUCUAUGAAGCCUCUACUGAUAAACUCACGCACUGCUCAGGACAUGAGAUUUCCUCGACAUUUUUCUAAGUAAACAAAGAAAUAACUAAAUAAAGAUGAUUCUAACGAAUACUCCACGAACAAAAGCGGAGCUCACCAAUAGCACUGGAAGAGAAGGAAAUCCUAACUCGUAGCCUGCUCCCCUGCAAAUACGGUUCUUACGUUGUACCGCAGACCAGCGUAGGUUCCCAAAAGAGAAUGUCAGUAGCAUCCAUUAUACUCAGUGAAUCUCAACAACAGGUGGAGAAACUUUAAUAAUAUGUACAUUGUGAGCAAAUGAUCUAAAUGCAUGUAAAACAUAAAGCUUAUAAGAAUAAUUCUAAAUAAUUGCAUAAUUGCAGUUUAUGAAUAUUCUAAAAGAAAUUCUUUUCUUUUUCUUUCUUGUAAAAAAAAUAUUUCACUUUAUACUUUGGGAGUUCCAACUAUCUUGACUUAAUUCUGUCUUAGUCACCGUGUGAUCGGCAACGGGUUCGAUCCCAACCCGAUCGAAUAGGCCCAAUCCACGAAGUGCCACUCGCUUUAUGGUUCUCAGUGCUUAUGUAUCAUACCUUAGCAUGGCUAAGUAAUUUCUUAGCAAUGAGACCCUCGGCUCAUCACUCAUGUGCUCCCUACAUUGGCACAAGUAGUUACUGGAAGUCAACGCCCUGGUCAGGAUCCUCAGCCUGGACGAUGACCCCUUCUCAGAAUAAAGGAUAGUCCAAAAAAUCUUUUCUUUCUAAAACUUCUUCUUGUGACUUUUCAAGUCUAA